rnacentral:rRNA from 1 species
CCCCGGGCUCAACCUGGGAACUGCGUUNUGAACUGGGUGACUAGAGUGUGUCAGAGGGAGGUAGAAUUCCACGUGUAGCAGUGAAAUGCGUAGAGAUGUGGAGGAAUACCGAUGGCGAAGGCAGCCUCCUGGGAUAACACUGACGUUCAUGCCCGAAAGCGUGGGUAGCAAACAGGAUUAGAUACCCUGGUAGUCCACGCCCUAAACGAUGUCGAUUAGCUGUUGGGCAGCAUGACUGCUUAGUAGCGAAGCUAACGCGUGAAAUCGACCGCCUGGGGAGUACGGUCGCAAGAUUAAAACUCAAAGGAAUUGACGGGGACCCGCACAAGCGGUGGAUGAUGUGGAUUAAUUCGAUGCAACGCGAAGAACCUUACCUGGUCUUGACAUGUACGGAACCCUCCAGAGACGGAGGGGUGCCUUCGGGAGCCGUAACACAGGUGCUGCAUGGCUGUCGUCAGCUCGUGUCGUGAGAUGUUGGGUUAAGUCCCGCAACGAGCGCAACCCUUGUCAUUAGUUGCCAUCAUUAAGUUGGGCACUCUAAUGAGACUGCCGGUGACAAGCCGGAGGAAGGUGGGGAUGACGUCAAGUCCUCAUGGCCCUUAUGACCAGGGCUUCACACGUCAUACAAUGGUCGGUACAGAGGGUAGCCAAGCCGCGAGGUGGAGCCAAUCUCACAAAACCGAUCGUAGUCCGGAUUGCACUCUGCAACUCGAGUGCAUGAAGUCGGAAUCGCUAGUAAUCGCAGGUCAGCAUACUGCGGUGAAUACGUUCCCGGGUCUUGUAC